rnacentral:rRNA from 1 species
GACGAACGCUGGCGGCGUGCUUAACACAUGCAAGUCGAACGAAAAGACGGAAAGAGCUUGCUCUUUUCAGAAUUGAGUGGCAAACGGGUGAGUAACACGUAAACAACCUGCCUUCAGGAUGGGGACAACAGACGGAAACGACUGCUAAUACCGAAUAAGUUCCAAGAGCCGCAUGGCCCAUGGAAGAAAAGGAUUUAUUCGCUUUAGGAUGGACUCGCGUCCAAUUAGCUAGUUGGUGAGGUAAUGGCCCACCAAGGCGACGAUUGGUAGCCGGACUGAGAGGUUGAACGGCCACAUUGGGACUGAGACACGGCCCAGACUCCUACGGGAGGCAGCAGUGGGGGAUAUUGCACAAUGGGGGAAACCCUGAUGCAGCGACGCCGCGUGGAGGAAGAAGGUUUUCGGAUUGUAAACUCCUGUCGUUAGGGACGAUAAUGACGGUACCUAACAAGAAAGCACCGGCUAACUACGUG